AACGAACGCUGGCGGCAGGCCUAACACAUGCAAGUCGAACGCCGUAGCAAUACGGAGUGGCAGACGGGUGAGUAACACGUGGGAACGUACCUUUCGGUUCGGAAUAACUCAGGGAAACUUGAGCUAAUACCGGAUACGUGCGAGAGCAGAAAGAUUUAUCGCCGAAAGAUCGGCCCGCGUCCGAUUAGCUAGUUGGUGAGGUAAUGGCUCACCAAGGCGACGAUCGGUAGCUGGUCUGAGAGGAUGAUCAGCCACACUGGGACUGAGACACGGCCCAGACUCCUACGGGAGGCAGCAGUGGGGAAUAUUGGACAAUGGGCGAAAGCCUGAUCCAGCCAUGCCGCGUGAGUGAUGACGGCCUUAGGGUUGUAAAGCUCUUUCGCCAGGGACGAUAAUGACGGUACCUGGAUAAGAAGCCCCGGCUAACUUCGUG
rnacentral:rRNA from 1 species